CGCGUAGGCGGUUUGAUCAGUCGGAUGUGAAAGCCCUGGGCUCAACCUGGGAAUGGCAUUCGAUACUGUCAAGCUAGAAUGUGGGAGAGGCAAGUGGAAUUUCCGGUGUAGCGGUGAAAUGCGUAGAGAUCGGAAGGAACACCAGUGGCGAAGGCGGCUUGCUGGCCCAACAUUGACGCUGAGGUGCGAAAGCGUGGGGAGCGAACAGGAUUAGAUACCCUGGUAGUC
rnacentral:rRNA from 1 species